CUCCAAUUUAUUUUUUCUUAACCUCUUCUUCUUCUCCAUCUUGAAAGCCGAAAUCCAUUUCUCAACCAAGGCCGAAACUCCUACUUCUUCGCCGCAGCUGAACUUUUUCUGCUUCAUUCCGAGUCAAUGAAAGUAGGGAGGAGGCAAUAGCGGUAGAGUUUGCUGUCUUCUUUCCUGGCCUGGUAGAAAAAGAAAAGGAAGAUAAAGAGAGGACGAAAUACUGCGUGAGACGAGCAGUGAGCACUCGGUUUGUCCUUGGUUGAUCCAUCUUGCUUAGUAUCCAGGCAGCUGACCUCUUGAGCGGUCAAGUCAUUAGAUCAAAAGAAAAAAAAUCCAAAUGAAAACGCCUGCAUCAGCUUCUUCUAAGGUCCCUGUUAAGUUCAGGAUGCCAACAGCUGACAAUCUGGUUCCCAUUCGGUUGGAUAUUGAAAUUGAUGGCCAGCGCUUCAAAGAUGCUUUCACUUGGAAUCCUUCUGACCCAGAUUCGGAGGUGGUGGUCUUUGCAAAAAGGACUGUCAAAGACUUGAAGCUUCCUCCAGCAUUUGUAACACAGAUUGCUCAAUCCAUUCAGGUUAGCUUUGUCUGAACUGUU